rnacentral:rRNA from 1 species
UACGGAGGGUGCAAGCGUUAAUCGGAAUUACUGGGCGUAAAGAGCUCGUAGGCGGUUUGUCACGUCUGCUGUGAAAACUGGAGGCUCAACCUCCAGCCUGCAGUGGGUACGGGCAGACUAGAGUGCGGUAGGGGAGAUUGGAAUUCCUGGUGUAGCGGUGGAAUGCGCAGAUAUCAGGAGGAACACCGAUGGCGAAGGCAGAUCUCUGGGCCGUAACUGACGCUGAGGAGCGAAAGCAUGGGGAGCGAACAGG